GGAUGUGAGGGCGAUCUGGUUGCGACAUCUGUCACCCCAUUGAUCGCCAGGGUUGAUUCGGCUGAUCUGGCUGGCUAGGCGGGUGUCCCCUUCCUCCCUCACAGCUCCAUGUGCGUCCCUCCCGAAGCUGCGCGCUCGGUCGAAGAGGACGACCAUCCCCGCUAGAGGAGGACCGGUCUUCGGUCAAGGGUAUACGAGUAGCUGCGCUCCCCUGCUAGAACCUCCAAACAAGCUCUCAAGGUCCAUUCUCCAUAUUUUUCAAGAUGCUAGUUUUACUUGAGGUAAAUUGAGGAUUAUAUGACAAAAAGAUGAAAUAACUAUAUAAAGAGAAGAUUAGCAUAGAUACUUAUAUUU
rnacentral:snRNA from 1 species